AUUGCUCACUCUCACAGUAUUAUUCGACUGGUUUUCUUUUGUCCAUUUGGGAAAUUGGCUUAACUGAGAGGUGUAAGUAUUUACCUGUAAUGUCGGAAUCAUCCUGGUGUUCUCAUUCUAAGCCAUGCUUGUUGAGUGUUGACGAUUAUGCAAAUGACUGCGGGCUACUUGGAUAUGUGUUUACUUUUGGACAUCUAGAACAAUCUAGGGGUCCGGGUUGUUUUCGGUUUAAGAGGCCAUGAAUAAUGAUAUUCUAUUUUCCCCUUGAUCCACAUUCUUUGGUUGCCUUCCUUCUCCAUUAGCCUUCCUUUAACUUGAAUGAAGUCAUACCUUAGGCCACAUGGUUCAUGGUUAUCAUUGUCCUUCAUUUGACAAGAUGUAAGAUGACAGUUGGUCCCCACUCUAGCUUCCCAUGAAUGUAUCACUUGCAUCCACAUUCACACACAUAGACACCCGAACAUGCAUUAUCGUUCGGCCCAUAGUUAGAUUUUAUAUGGUUUCUCAAGAGUCCAAUUUGAUACCGAAAUUGGCUGGCCUUGUAUCGGACCUUAACUAUCAGUAACCUAGCUUAUGUCAAGGCUGCUAAAUAUAUGACUUGUAACAGUUUCUGCAACAACAUUCAAAAAGUAAAAUAAGUUGCAUGCGUUUUUCUAGUGUUUUGUGUUCAAUUCCUACUUGUGAAAAUCAAAAUAGUGUUGUAAUUAGAGAUAUUUCGCAUGAGAUACAUUAUGGUUGGUUUUGCGGCAUUACUGUCUGGUCACUGUACCCAAAACCUACAUUCAAGUUAACAUAUGUUUCUUAUGCUGCUUGUAAAGAGACUCCUCUUUUUUUACCCCCUCUUUCAGGAACUGAUGGAAAAGACUUCGUCUUAUGUUACUUUUUUUUUUCUUUUUUUUUUUUGAAAAAGAUCCCUAUCUAAUUUCUAAAUAUUACAAUGAUUGUGCAUGUGGCAUACUGCUACACUUUUUUCUGUGCCAUUUACCCAUUUAGGGCACGUUUUAGUUAACAAAGGUCGUAACUAUGCCUUUUAUUGUUUACCGAAACUACUUGGUAAGUAUUUAUCAUUUACUAUGAGUCUAUGACAACAUUGGCAAGCAAUAUUUACGUGUUGCACUUUUGGAUGAAAUCUGGUCUUGAGUGUUGGACGGGGAAGAUUAAUGGGACAAUACAGUUUAUUUCAUUGUACGAUACAGGUAACAUUGUUUACAAGGUCAAAAUCCGUUUUACCUACCUGUGUUUUGCCGCAUUUUAUCAGAGUACAAAAGAAGUUGAGUCAAAGUCAAACUCAUAAGCAAAAAUACCAUCUUAACCUUCUCUCUCUCUCUCUCUCUCUCUCUCUCUCGAUUUUCCUCGAUUACUGGGCUCCUCGGCAAAUCAG